rnacentral:rRNA from 1 species
UACGUAGGGGGCAAGCGUUGUCCGGAAUCAUUGGGCGUAAAGCGCGUGUAGGCGGUUCAGUAAGUCUGCUGUGAAAUCCCGGGGCUCAACCCCGGAACUGCAUUCGAUACUGCUGCGCUAGAGUACUGGAGAGGAGAUUGGAAUUUACGGUGUAGCAGUGAAAUGCGUAGAUAUGUGGAGGAACACCGAUGGCGAAGGCAGCCCCCUGGGUCAAAACUGACGCUCAUGCACGAAAGCGUGGGGAGCAAACAGG